rnacentral:rRNA from 1 species
AACGAACGCUGGCGGCAUGCCUAACACAUGCAAGUCGAACGAGACCUUCGGGUCUAGUGGCGCACGGGUGCGUAACGCGUGGGAACCUGCCCUUAGGUUCGGAAUAACUCCCCGAAAGGGGUGCUAAUACCGGAUAAUGUCUUCGGACCAAAGAUUGAUGGCCUUUGGAUGGGCCCGCGUUGGAUUAGCUAGUUGGUAGGGUAAAAGCCUACCAAGGCGACGAUCCAGAGCUGGUCUGAGAGGAUGAUCAGCCACACUGGGACUGAGACACGGCCCAGACUCCUACGGGAGGGAGCAGUGGGGAAUAUUGGACAAGGGGCGAAGGCCUGAUCCAGCAAUGCCGGGUGAGUGAUGAAGGCCUUAGGGUUGUAAAGCUCUUUUACCCGGGAUGAUAAUGACGGUACCGGGAGAAUAAGCGCCGGCUAACUCCGUG